GCAACAGCCAGAGAGCAGUAAGUAGUUAAGUGUAACCAGGGCCCAGGUGUGCUCUGCCAGGUCUUAGGGAAACUGGUAGCAUGGCUUUCUCCUCACUGUGGUCCUUCAGCAUACCUGCUUCGGUCUCCCUCCCCGUUUGACUUGCUCUCCAAUAUCUGCCCCCCUAACACAUAGCCUUCGAAUGGAAACAGAUCCAAAUCCAGAGACUACGGCUUUAUGCCUUCAGAAAGAAAGGGAGCCCAUGCAGGUGUUCUUAUAGAGAGGCCAGGCCAGUUUCACAGCUGGGGUCCUUUCAAUGCUCACAGGCUAGAGGGAAUAUUUCUGGGGUCUAUUGCUGGCCAGCCUGCUCCAUGCUUUUCCAGUCCCAAAGGUCCCAUGUUCAGGAGUAUAGUAGAAAUCCUGAUCCCUGCAGCUCUCCUCUGGCCCCAAGAAAGGAUUCCAUAACUCAGAUGAGUGUCCCCCUUUCAGGACGGGGCCCUGGUUGAGACUGGAGAGAGAUUAAUAAUUGCAAUGCCAAAUGGUAAGUACUUCCAGAGGUACAGAACCCUGUGAGACCACUAAAAGUAUAUUUGCAGGGCAGACAAGAUGAUCGUACCACAGCAUUUUGCACAGUAUUUUGACUAGGUGAUUUGCUGGAUAAAGGGGCAAGAAGAUGGAAUUUGGAACAGCUGUCUGUCUUGGAAGAGACAGUGAUGAAAUGGAACUGGGUAAUUUGAGGCCACACACCAGAAGUUGGAAGGGAACCCUGGAGAGUUUUACACCAACUCUCAUAGGGAUGUUCCUCAUCAAUGCUUU
rnacentral:lncRNA from 1 species